AACGUAGGAGACAAACGUUAUCCGGAGUUACUGGGCGUAAAGUGUGCGCAGGCGGCCGAGCAAGUCGAGUGUGAAAGCCCCGAGCUUAACUUGGGAACUGCGCUCGAAACUACUUGGCUAGAGUGUGGCAGAGGGAGGUGGAAUUCCACGUGUAGCGGUGAAAUGCGUAGAGAUGUGGAGGAACACCGAUGGCGAAGGCAGCCUCCUGGGCCAACACUGACGCUCAUGCACGAAAGCGUGGGGAGCAAACAGG
rnacentral:rRNA from 1 species